rnacentral:rRNA from 1 species
AUUGAACGCUGCGGAAUGCUUUACACAUGCAAGUCGAACGGUAGAGGGGGCAACCCCUCGAGAGUGGCGAACGGGUGAGUAAUAUAUCGGAACGUGCCCAGUCGUGGGGGAUAACGUAGCGAAAGUUACGCUAAUACCGCAUACGAUCUAAGGAUGAAAGCGGGGGAUCGCAAGACCUCGAGCGAUUGGAGCGGCCGAUAUCAGAUUAGGUAGUUGGUGGGGUAAAGGCUCACCAAGCCAACGAUCUGUAGCUGGUCUGAGAGGACGACCAGCCACACUGGAACUGAGACACGGUCCAGACUCCUACGGGAGGCAGCAGUGGGGAAUUUUGGACAAUGGACGCAAGUCUGAUCCAGCCAUUCCGCGUGCAGGAUGAAGGCCCUCGGGUUGUAAACUGCUUUUGUACGGAACGAAAAGGUCUCUCUUAAUACGGGGGACUCAUGACGGUACCGUAAGAAUAAGCACCGGCUAACUACGUGCCAGCCGCCGCCGUAA